rnacentral:rRNA from 1 species
UUAGAGUUUGAUCCUGGCUCAGGACGAACGCUGGCGGCGUGCCUAAUACAUGCAAGUCGAGCGAACAGAGAAGGAGCUUGCUCCUUCGACGUUAGCGGCGGACGGGUGAGUAACACGUGGGCAACCUACCUUAUAGUUUGGGAUAACUCCGGGAAACCGGGGCUAAUACCGAAUAAUCUGUUUCACCUCAUGGUGAAACACUGAAAGACGGUUUCGGCUGUCGCUAUAGGAUGGGCCCGCGGCGCAUUAGCUAGUUGGUGAGGUAACGGCUCACCAAGGCGACGAUGCGUAGCCGACCUGAGAGGGUGAUCGGCCACACUGGGACUGAGACACGGCCCAGACUCCUACGGGAGGCAGCAGUAGGGAAUCUUCCACAAUGGGCGAAAGCCUGAUGGAGCAACGCCGCGUGAGUGAAGAAGGAUUUCGGUUCGUAAAACUCUGUUGUAAGGGAAGAACAAGUACAGUAGUAACUGGCUGUACC